CCCAGGAAGCGCCGCAACCGGGACUCGGGAGGGGUGGAGGGGGCGAGGCAGGGGCCACGGCCCCGGGGGAUCCUCGGCCCCACUGUGCACCACACACUCCUUUCCCAGUCCAGGGGCACGCGAACAAAAUGAGGCUCAAGCUGACCAGGCCGAGCUGGAGGAACGCUGGGGCUUGGCAGCAGAAGGGAUGGGACCACAGAGAAGGGUGUGGAGGAGACCCCAGUGAGGGCCGGGACAUUUCAGGUAAAGAGAGGUCAUAUCUCCGUACCUCACUUCCUGACACAAACAAGUUUUCACUGUUGUCAGCAACAAAGCCCUAAUAUAGCUGCGGAAGAGAAAAACUGCAUUGCAUUUUGCCUCCUGCAAGCAUCAUCAACAGUUACUGGAGGAAUGUAAUUCCAGAAAGCUUGAAAGCCGUGGUGAUGGUAAUUAUGUAUCAAAUGCCUGGUUCUAUUUCUGUUAUUAUUGUUUUGUCAUUUCUGUUCUCCCAGCGAUCUGACUGAACUUGCAGAGGGACAAAUCCGGUUUUUCUUUUUGACUUUUGUCAAACUGAAUCAGGCCUGAUAGAAAACUCAUUGCUCUCCGAGGAAACAAAGUAGGAGCCACGAAAUGUCAUUUUAACAGAGCGUGGGUUUGGUGACUGUAGGAAAGGAUUUGAGGACGCUCCUUCUGUUCGGCUUCCUAUGUCAUGAGCACAGACUCCACGCACGCACAGACACCACGGCUCCCGGAUGCUGUGGCUCCCCGAUCUGGGCUCCUGCAGCGCCAGAAGCCCCUCCGGGAUGCUGCGAGGGGCUCCCGGUGGGUGGAGGUACGGACGCCGCUGCGGCCGCCGCCGCCAGUCCUGCUGCUGUUGUUGCUGCUGCAGUCACGUGGGAGCCCCUUUAAGUUUCCAUAGAGAGGCCUCUCUGGUGUCACAUGAUGGACAUGAUAUAAUGAAACAACAUUGUGGAGAGGAAAGCAUUAGGGGAGCCCACGGCUACAAAAACAAGUGAGUGAGAAGAGGUGGGAGGAAGAGAAACUACGCCACCUCCCCUGCAGCCGAGCGCACGCAGCAGCCUGGCGUGACAAGUGGGCGACGCCGGGGGGCAGGGAGCCGGGGUCCUCGGCCCUGGCCGGGGACCCCACCGCCCACCGCGCGGAGAACAACUUUUAGCCGGCAGCCCAGGCCAGCGCGGCACCUGUCUCCUGAGUCUCCACCGCUCCUCCCCAUCCAUCCCAGGGAAAUUCUCAAGAAUACGCUCUACAAAUCUACGUGCGCAUCGUUUUCCCCUCUCGUCGCGCCCGGGAGGAAGGAACGAGGCAAGGAGCUAAGCAGCGUGCGUUCAGCCCUGGGGCAUUUUAUUAAUGCUUUUACGAGUUAGAAGAGUUGGGAUAAUUUACCAUCUGGAGUUUCUCUGCCUUGCUGAUCUGAGCUCAGACCUGCUAAUUUACCAGAGAUGACUGAUAACACCCUGUAACAGCUGAGAGGAAAAUGGAAGAAGCAGUGAUACUUUUAGUGAAACAGAAUAAACCACUGAACAGAUUCCGGAACCCCUCACCCUUCAAAGGGUCUGUGUGCAUAACUCUUCCUGGUCCUGUGACAAGAACCCAGUUUUUUCUACAAUAGUAAGGAGUCAGUGAGCAUUAGUGUUCUUUCUCUCUCUUUUUCUUCCUCUUCUCUUCGGCAGUAUAUUUUUCGUUUUCCAGUUGUAGCAUCUGUUAGUGUAAUAUUCCUAUUUGCCCUCAAGUAGGGCAUUUUCCAGGUUUCUGCAGCUUGAACUUUUCUCUCUUGGUGGAGUGAAGCAGAGGUGGGUGGGGAAGGGAGACCAAGUGAACUCAACCUGGCUCUCCUUUUAUUUCCCUGGGGUUAGAAGCCGCAAGUUGUCCUGAGGAGGCUUUGCUGUUCUUGUCGCUCCUGACUUCAGCAGGAAUCAAGGACAAAAUAAUUGAAUGACAAAGGAAGAUGGAAGCAGCUAUAAUCAGCUGUUCAGUUCCAAUAACAGGAAAAGUAGCCCUCAAACUUUAGAGGACAGUAGAAUGACCUAGGAUGCCAGUUAAAAUUCAUCUUCCUGGGCUCCUCCCCAGAGAUUCUGAGUCCAAACUUAGGUAAUUCUUAGUUUUUAAUGUUUUGGUUGAUCACUAGUAUAGCACAAAGAUUAAUAUAUUUUUUAAGAGUUUUUACCACUCCUUGGUAGAGUCUGCUACCCUCAGGGAGCCCCAAAAUUAUGGCUCAGAAUUCUUGGCUUAAAAAAUGAGCCACAGCGUCCCCACACCUAUGUAUGACUCUCAGACAGUCAUGUAACACGAACAAGCUUUGGCAGUGGUGUGAGAUUGAUUUGUAAAUUGCCAGUGUCAACAUAAUUCUUUUCUCAUUGGCAUUGCCUAGUUAAGGAGUCAGAUCUCACUGUGGUUUGUUCUCUCUGUGGUUUCCGUAGGGUUGGGGAGAAUGCUACAGAAAAACGAACCCUCUCUAGUUUUGACUGUCUAGGGAGUAAAAAAAAAAAGCCUGUUAUUUUUCUGAAUUAGGAUAUAAGACGCCUGCCCUGAAGGUGGCAAAUCAGACUUCCACACGCAUUGCCUUCAUUUAGCCAAUAGCCCGCUCUGAAUGUGUAUAUUACGAUGUGCAGUUUCAUUCAUCAAGGGGAUUUCGGGCUCCAGCAGCACGCAGCCUCCAGUCUUGAGUGACUCCUGGGCUUUGGCUCAGCAGUAACUCCUCCAUAAAAACAAGUGUGUGCAUCUGGCUGUCAGAAGAAUUCGUGCUCAUCCGGGAGAAAUGAGGAAGCCGUGCGUACCAGUGGAAGGAACGAGCCAGGAAGAGGGACUGGAACCAUCUCAGAAGCCGUUCCCCUCAGCCUGGAACUUGCCCUGUCUCCUCGCAGAUGAGGUAGGAGGCUCAGCACAGGCUGGCGGGAGCAGCCCACAACAGCGGUGAGGGUCAGUGGGCCUGUGAGUUAAGAAGAAGGUGUCACAGAGCGAGGGUCUCUGGGUCCUGUUUGACUUUUCCAUGACUGGGAUAAAUAGCCAGGGCUUGGCUAGUUGGAGAGUUACUCAAACCUCAGGUGACAGUUGUAAGGCAGCACAUGGUGAAAAAGAGUCCUAGCCUAGGAAAGUCCAAAAUCUUGGGUCUGCUUUCAGUUCACUCACCUAUCUCUGUGACAUAGCAAAGUCUCUUAACUUCUUUAAUUUUCUGAUUAGUGGUAUAGUUGCAGGAAUGAAAUAAAACUGGUCCUGAUUACUCAGAGAUUCAUUUACUGAUUACUCUUUUUGUGAUCUGAAUAAAGAGUACAACAUCUCUCAAAAGGUAACAAUUUGAUAUUUCAGGAAAUUAGAGAAGUCAAGAGACUUUGCUGUAUUAUGCAGAUAGUUGACUGACAGCUGAGCCCAGACACAAGAUUCAUUUAUAAAACAAAAGAGUUGAGAAGUACAUACUCUGAGGUUUAUCCUAAAUAAACUAGUCUAGGUAAGUGGCUGAGCUAGGUUUGCCAUGAAUCAAUCUGCUGAGUGUAUUUCUUGGUAACUAGUUCAUCUUUCCUUAAUUCAGUCAACAAAUAUGAUACCAAGUUUAGUAAGAUGAUGACGGAUGUCAUGUAAUACUCCAUCUGGAAGACUGUGUGCUUCUCAGCUUCCCUAACUUUUCUUAAUCUACCUUAAGCUUCCCUUCUGAAAGGUUUCUGUCUUUCCUAACAGUCUCUUCUUACCGCCAGCUACCUCUUGUGUUUAAGAAUUUAAGGAAGAUGAGCUAGGAAUCAAGAAAUACCCAGAACUGAUUCCUGUCACUGGCCCCACCCUGCCACUUGCCCAGAGCUGUGGCAUAAAUUUUUUUAAUAGGCUAAAAUAAAGAUAUGAAUAGUAUUUUGGUAUUAAGCAUUGAUAAAAGUAAAGGCCAUGAGAUAUACCUGCUCUCACCAUGUUAAUUUUCUAUUAUUGGUAUCAAUAAAUUAUUACUUACUAACAUAUUAACAAGAAUUGCAUCGAGAAAAAAAGGAGCCACAGGCCAAAUCUUUUGAAUUUCAAAUGUUUAUAUUAAUGUAUUGUAUUCUAGAAAAGUAGAAUUGUCUUAAGUAGCUUUGUAAUAUAAAGUCAUCUAUCAGCCCAUGACACCUAUUAGAAUGUUUCAACCUUUGUCUCCCACUUUUUUGUUUCUAGACUGAGUGUACUUGGUCUGGUAUUUGUGGCAUAACUUACAGAACACAUAAGAAUGAUACAGAUACUAUUUAAUGAUGACCUAGUACAAGCUUAGAUAGCUAAGGUGAAAGCUUCUAUGGCCUUAAUAUUUUCCUCUUGAAGAAUGUAUUUGCUGUAAUAAAAUACAGUGACUACUUGAAAUCUAUAAACUUAUGUGAGGUCUGGAUAAAUCUGAGCAACUUUCUUUUUUGUGCUCCAGGAACCCAUGCACUAUAUAUACAAAUAAAGCUUAAGUAAACAUCACUGCUGCAAUCUGUGUUUUGUUUGAUUAUAUUACAUAUUGCCUGAUCUUUAAAUAAUGAUGAAAAAUAACAUAACCAUGUUUUAACAUAAACCUUGAAUGGAUAUGAACUUAAGGGAAACAGUUUCUUGGAUAAUUAAACUUUAUUGUCUCACCGUGCAUUACUUGGGUCUUGUAAUAUUUUUUAAAACAGUCCUGGGGAUUUAUUUUUUGAGGCGUUCAAAUGAAUUAUUAGUUCUCAAAAGCCGUAGGAUAUUCCUGGGUCGAUAUAUCCCCAAAACACUAUUUUUAAACUGCUUAGUUUAUUUUUCUUAGCAUGCUCAUCUGCUGCAUAAUUUUCUUUGCUAUGGGUCACAUGAUUCCUCCCAUCCAUAACUCACGCACUUAAAAUUCUCACUUCCUGAUUGAGCCAUCAGAUUACGUAAAAUGUAAAUCAGCCUGAAUACCUAAGAGCAGGAAUUUUAAGGGGGAAAAUGCCGUUUUCUUUUCCUGUGUCAUUAUUAACCCUUAAAUAUCAGAGUGAGUGUCUGCUCACCUAUUUGUAUUUGGAAAUGAGAGACUGUUAGGGGUUUUUCUUGGCCCUUCCCUUUCAGAUUGAAUCAGACUUUGCUGCUUUCCUUAUAAAAAAUAAUGUACCAACUAGAUAGACGGUGGGAGUGGUAUCGUUGCAGGAAUGAAACCAAAAGGGUUCCGAUGAUUGAGAGAGAUUCAUGUAUUUAUUAACUCUUCUCAUGAUCUGAAUGAAGAGUACAGCAUCUGUCAAAAGGUAACAAUCUGAUAUUUCAGAAUUGCAAGUGGCCAUUUAGCCUUUCUGCUGCCUGAAAAAAAAUGAAAGUAAUUUCUAGCAGGCAGGAUGACACUUGUUUUAUCACGAAUCUGACAAUCCAGCACAUUUUCUCAGAGCAAUUUUGAAGUUGUCAUAGAAACAGCAUGGCAUUUGGAGGGUCUUUUUAGUAGUUCUUUAGCUAGAGUUAAUUAAUUGUAUUAACUCUGGAUGUUUUUCUUUUUACUCCUGUUCGACAAACAAGGGCUAUAACUGCUCAAAUAUGUAUUUUGUGUUCUAUAUUUUUUGGUGACUGUAGUUUAAAGACGUGAUGUUUCGUAAGUGGUUUCAGUAAAGGUUAUCAAUGGAUUUCAAACACAUUAAACUUGGGUUUUUAAUUUCUCUGUAAAACUGCACUAUCAUUGUGGCACCGGGAUUUAGUUUUAUUUAAGAAGUGAAUCUGGGGAGAUAUUUGCACAAAUUCAAUUGUGGCUUGCUUCCACUGGUUGCAGCUAUCCUUUGCUUUGAUUUUGGUGUAUUUAGAAAAAGAACUGGGGAAUGCAGAAGGGGAAAUGUGUCAGGCUUACAAAAGAAAAUUGUUUCUUUAAAAACGCAAGAGGCAGGCACAACACCAAAAGCAUGUUCCAUAAAAGAAAUAAAUUUGACUUUGUGAAACUUAAGAAUGCAGUGCUCUUUGAAACUCUAAAAUAUACUUAAAUAAAUUCUCCCCUAGGAAGAUUUGUGGGAACUUUUUAUUGGUGGAAAGUAGGUUGGAGCUUCUAUUAUUAAUAGUAAAACUCUGUGGCAGAAAUUCUUGCCAAUAUGGCGGUUGGUGAGAAAGGAAUCCCGUUUCUUGGGCAGGGAGAGGGUCAGAAGAAAGAAUUGUCUGUGCUAGGUCUGGAUGCUGGGACUUAAAAAGUAUCAGAUAUACAGUGCUUUGUGCUUUUUGUUUCCUUGUAUAAGUGAACCGAGAGAUGUGACACUUCUAAAACGUCUCUUGAGUUUUGUGGGUUUAAUGCUAAUGCCACUAUCCUUACUGUUCUGUGAGUAUUUGUUCAGCCACGGGUGAUUCAAGAGAGUUGGGGUAGCAGCGUGUGCAGCCAGCAGCAGUCCAGGUGCUAAUGCACCACUGGUGAUGUCAGGAGUUACGAGACAGCGGUUUCAAAACACUGCAGUAAACAAGGUCAAAGUGUCCCGUUUCGCUGGAAGAAGGUUUGUUUUUAUGAGCUGGACAGUACAUGGAUGAAGUAAUUUUUCAAAACAAACUUUAAAUUUAUACAUGUAUUUUUUUUUUUCCUUCUUUGGAUUAAAAAAAUUGGCCCGUUGAGAUUAAAUAAUGGUUAUGUUUUUAAGCAGAAUUAUGUUUCAUAUGUUUUUCCAGUCUUUUAUUGAUUUUCUGUUUUUCACAGAAGAAAUGAAAAUAACUUCUGAUGUAGGGAUUCUUAAGUGCAGUUUUAGAGAGCAAGACAGGACCCAGUACUUUCAAAACACGGCAAGUGCAAGUCACAGUCCCUAGUAAGAUAUUCCUUCUCAUUUUGUGCCUUUGACUCUUAUUUAGACAGACGUUUAAGUAUGAGAAAGCUAAUGGCGCAGAUUCUGCUGACUGUGUGGCUCUCGUCUUAAUGCGUUUUCCAACCUUGAACCUGAGAAUGCCAGAGGAUUGAGUCUCUGGACGUUCAUCUGAGCAGAUAUCUGCUGGCCGCCUGGUUCCUGAGCUAACAAGUGGGCGUCCCAGGCUUGUGUGUGUAGUCACAACAGUGGAGGUGCCACGUGGCACCCAGAGGUCGACUGGGGCUACCGCGGGGCUUCCCGAUCCUCACAAGUGUGUCUUCAGUGUCCGAGAUGAACUGGGAACUUGGGGCAUCUUUAGAAGCGCAGACAUUUGGAGUUCCACGGCAAACCUGGAUGUAAGCACUCACACAGCUUUUAAAGUGAAAGCAAGGACCUUGAGGAAGGAAUUGCCGUCAUCUCAUUCCCGUCCUGCUUACUGGGCUGGGGAACAAAUGUGCCGGCUUGCUGUUCAGAGAUAGGAAGAGAUUGAAAUUUAUUAUCAAGGAGAAAACAAAAGGUGUUUUGUUUUGUUUCUAAAUGGUCCAAGAACUUUGCCAUUAGGUAAAUGACUGUGACACAGACAAGGCGUUUUGCAUGGUGUGACCAGGAGUACCUCCAGCAAAGCAGCCCCAGUUCGCCGCCCUGAUUUCCAUUUGGAAGCAGGCAGAGUGGGUUUCCCCACUCUGGACUGGUGUUAAGGCAGAGGGUCCUUGUGCAGGAAUUGUGCAGAAACUAGGUGGGAAGCUGUCAUAGACAAGAGGCUGCAGUUUAAAAACGCAUCAGGAAAUGGAAAAGAGCUGCAAGAAUAUCAAUUAUUUAAUGAUGUUGAUCAAAACAAAUUUAGUAUAAAGAUGAGAUACAAUGUAUAGAGACCUAACCCCGUCAACAGCAACUAAACUUUUCUUUCAUGUUAGAAAGUUUUGUGCCAUGUAGAUUUAUGGACAAUGUGCUUAAUUGCCUCUAGAAAAGAAUGAAGCGGCUUCGUCACCGCCAUAGAAGAUCCUGUGACACUAGCCUAAUUCUGACACGUGGCUCCUGUUUCCCAUUUUGUUUGUAUCUUAUGCUGAUCCUCUCUCCAGGGAUGUGAUGUGGAUUGAUUAACUUGUAAUACAAAGUUCUAUGGUUUUUGAAAAUGCAGAGUAAAUAGAGAUGAAGAGUGGUUUGUGAUUUGUUAUUAAAUGAUCUUCCCUUCUACAUUUAGGACUGAUUUUUACUGUAGUUUUUUUUUUUUAUUUUUUUGUUUGUUUGUUUUGUCAACUUGAACAGCAAUACCUUGGAGGUAAAAGAUGGGAGCACGACUGGAGUGUGGAACUGGAAAGCAGAAACUAGGAGUCUUACUUCUAUGUCUAGAAUGGAAUAUUGUGAAUUUAAGGUAGAGCUUCUGUGUCCUGGGAAUUCAUAUUUUAUCUCAAAGUGGUGCUGAUAGGACUGGAGGUAGUUGUAUUUCAUUUGAAACAUUCCAGCCUCUUUAUAGGAAUAUCUGUGAAUUAUUAAUUCAGCAAACAUCUUUAAGUGUCUCCUUUAUGUAUAGCGUUGUGGUUAGAGCUGUAAUUGUUUCACCAUUAAAUUUACAGAAAUUCAGU